rnacentral:lncRNA from 1 species
GGCGUCUCGUGGAAUCUAAACCAUCAAACAGGAAAUGAGCAUUUAGGUCUUUGAAAAAUUUGUCUGUUGAAGGCCCAAAGCUUAGUGCAAUCGUGUUUGGAGAUCAUUCAAGGCCCCACUUCGAAUACUGCUGCUUUUGUGGCUGGGGAGAAAGCACAGCCCACCGCAGCUCUCCAAGCUUCUGCCCAGAAAUCACAGACAUCAUUUCUGCCUACACUUCAGAUGACCACAUCUGAACUCCCACAGAGAGGACCAAAGAGUGAGCAGUGACAUCAUCUACCACAGUGCAUGAGCCAACCUGCCGGGGUCUCCAUCUCCAUCUCAUCAUUUGCCACAGUGCAUGAGCCAACCUGCCGGGGUCUCCAUCUCCACCUCAUCAUCUGCCACAGUGCAUGAGCCAACCUGCCGGGGUCUCCAUCUCCACCUCAUCAUCUGCCACAGUGCAUGAGCCAACCUGCCGGGGUCUCCAUCUCCACCUCAUCAUCUUUUAGAUGGUAACAACGAUGUGUGUGUUGAAGACUGAGACAAUGCCUCAUGUGUCACAAGCUGGCCUUAAACUUACUACA